rnacentral:pre_miRNA from 1 species
UUAACUCGAAUUCAUAUGCAGUUGGAACAGCGCCCUUAGAGGCAAACGUAGGUAAACGUUCCAACUCCAUACAAAUUUGAGUUA